rnacentral:lncRNA from 1 species
UGGUUUCUGCUGCUGCAGAUAGUUACAUUUACUCUUCUCCUCCACCACCUUAUGUGUAUAAGUCACCACCACCACCGUCUCCUUCACUACCUCCUCCUUACGUGUACAAGUCACCACCUCCUCCGUCUCCAUCUCCUCCACCACCAUAUGAGCACAAGGCUCCAUCUUAUAAGUAUAAGUCCCCUCCACCUCCUUCACCAUCUCCCCCACCUCCCUAUGUGUACAAAUCACCACCUCCUCCAUCACCAUCACCUCCACCACCUUACAUUUACAAAUCUCCACCACCACCCUCACCUUCCCCUCCCCCACCAUACUAUUAUAAAUCUCCUCCACCACCAUCUCCCUCACCCCCACCACCAUAUUAUUACAAGUCUCCUCCACCACCUUCUCCUUCUCCUCCCCCUCCAUACUACUAUAAAUCUCCUCCACCACCCUCUCCGUCACCUCCACCUCCUUACUACUAUAAGUCUCCUCCACCUCCCUCACAUUCCCCUCCUCCACCAUACUAUUACAAGUCUCCUCCACCACCCUCUCCCUCACCCCCACCUCCAUAUUACUACAAAUCUCCUCCACCACCCUCUCCCUCACCCCCACCUCCAUAUUAUUACAAGUCUCCCCCACCACCCUCACCAUCCCCUCCCCCACCAUACUAUUAUAAGUCUCCUCCACCCCCACAUAUACACAAGGACCCACCAUACUAUUACAAGUCCCCACCACCACCUUCACCAUCUCCUCCACCACCUUACUACUAUAAAUCUCCCCCACCACCCUCACCAUCUCCUCCACCAC